AAGUCGUAACAAGGUUUUCGUAGGUGAACCUGCGGAAGGAUCAUUAGUGAAUUUACAAAAGUGGAUGGGAGUCCCUCUUAACCGGAGAAGGCCCAUUCCGUCUUUUCACUUCUCAUUUCAAACCCUAGUGCAUCUGUCCCCUUUUUACCUUUAACCCUUUCUGCAUUCGAAAAGGUUGUUGUGAUUAUACAUUUUUGAUAAAUUGAAAGAAAAACUUUCAGCAAUGGAUCUCUUGGCUCUC
rnacentral:misc_RNA from 1 species